GCAUGUUAAUCCACUGAACACAAGUGACUAUUGUCUAUCCGGAUAGACAAUAGUCACUUGUGUUCAGUGGAUUAACAUGCCACUGAACAC